rnacentral:rRNA from 1 species
UCUCACGACUUGCGAGAUUGCAAUGAGCACAAUUUAAAUCUCUUAGCAAGGAACAAUUGGAGGGCAAGUCUGGUGCCAGCAGCCGCGGUAAUUCCAGCUCCAAUAGCGUAUAUUAAAGUUGUUGCAGUUAAAAAGCUCGUAGUUGAACUUCUGGGCGUUCUCACAGUGGCUCCGGUCGUUGUGAGGGCGUUCAUCCGUCUGAGAACUACAUUCGGCCUUCGCUGGUCGGUGUAGGGAUCAGGCAUUUUACUUUGAAAAAAUUAGAGUGUUCCAGGCAGGCAAUCGCCUUGAAUACACAAGCAUGGAAUAAUGGAAUAGGACUAUGAUUCAUUUUGUUGGUUAUUGGAUCAUAGUAAUGAUUAACAGGGACAGUUGGGGGCAUUAGUAUUUAAUUGUCAGAGGUGAAAUUCUUGGAUUUAUUAAAGACUAACUUAUGCGAAAGCAUUUGCCAAGGAUGUUUUCAUUAAUCAAGAACGAAAGUUAGGGGAUCAAAGACGAUCAGAUACCGUCCUAGUCUUAACCAUAAACUAUUCCGACUAGGGAUUGGUUGGGUUCCUUCAGCCCAAUCAGCACCUUAUGAGAAAUCAAAGUCUUUGGGUUCCGGGGGGAGUAUGGUCGCAAGGCUGAAACUUAAAGGAAUUGACGGAAGGGCACCACCAGGAGUGGAGCCUGCGGCUUAAUUUGACCCAACACGGGGAAACUCACCAGCGCAAAACAUGGGUGGGAUUGACAGAUUGAGAGCUCUUUCUUGAUUCUAUGGGUGGUGGUGCAUGGCCGUUCUUAGUUGGUGGAGUGAUUUGUCUGGUUAAUUCCGUUAACGAACGAGACCUUAACCUGCUAACUAGUCUCUUCAUGUUAAAUGGGGAGGACUUCUUAGAGGGACUAUGAGUGCAAGCUCAUGGAAGUUUGAGGCAAUAACAGGUCUGUGAUGCCCUUAGAUGUGCUGGGCCGCACGCGCGCUACACUGACACGUUCAGCAAGUUUUAUCCUGGUCCGGAAGGAUUUCGGGUAAUCUUUGUAAAGCGUAUCGUGCUGGGGAUCGAUCUUUGCAAUUAUAGAUCUUGAACGAGGAAUUCCUAGUAAGUGCAAGUCAUCAGCUUGUACUGAUUACGUCCCUGCCCUUUGUACACACCGCCCGUCGCUCCUACCGAUUCGAGUGAUCCGGUGAACCUUCUGGACUGCUGAGGUCUCGGCCUCGGUGGAAAGUUAAGUAAACCUUAUCACUUAGAGGAAGGAGAAGUCGUAACAAGGUU